rnacentral:rRNA from 1 species
CCCUUAGAUGUCCGGGGCUGCACGCGCGCUACACUGAAUGAAUCAGCGUGCUAGAAAACCUUGUUUGACAUGGCUAGGUAACCCAUUGAAAAUCAUUCGUGAUUGGGAUCGGGACUUGCAAAUGUGUCCCUUGAACGAGGAAUUCCCAGUAAGUGCGGGUCAUCAACUUGCAUUGAUUACGUCCCUGCCCUUUGUACACACCGCCCGUCGCUCCUACCGAUUGAACGAUCCGGUGAAAACUCAGGACUGAUGACUGACCAGCGGUUCGCCGUUGCCAGUUUCGGGAAUUUGUUUGAACCUUAUCGUUUAGAGGAAGGAGAAGUCGUAACA